GUCAUUUAGUAAUAAUUGAAGCUAAUAUAAAAGCUUAUUUUCAUGUUUGGAAGACAAUGGAAACUCGGCCUGUAGUUCCAGAUCGAAAACUGCUUGCAAGACUUGUUUGGUCAGAGAGGAAGCUCGGAAUAUUAUGAGAGAUGGAUACUAGACAAGAGAAAUGAUCGUGGAUUUUAACACCCUUCCAGAAUCUGAGAUAAAAUCCCGGUCAGUGCUGGUGAACUUCUUAACCAAACUGGUGGCUUGAAUCUGGGGAAGACUGUCCAGGCGAUGAUAAAAAAUGUAAUGGCAAGAAAAAAUGAAAGUGCUGACCACUCUAGCAGUGAUGACGAAGAUGCCACUCGACUGAGGGCAGCCAUAGUUUAUUUGCUCGAGUCUUUUCCCCUUCCUCGUUGCACAGAAAUGGCUAUAACAGAGUUUCUGUUAUUUGUAUUGCAUCAUCGUUUCCAGGAAAGCGUGUGAGGCGAAAACCACUUCCUGUGUGCCCUGGCAUGUUUCUUGAGACUGUCUUCAAGCGGGAAUCAGACACAAGCGUGACUCGAAUCAUACUUUGUUUAAAGGAAAGCACCCAGAAGAAUCAGCCUAACUGAUGAUGAAGAUUCAACAGUGUCCAAUGAACACCAGUGCAACACCAUGUGUGGGAAUGUCCCACAAAUAUGGAUUUUUAUAUACUUGCAUCAGCACACGUCGAUGGACCUCGGUAAUGAUUCAUAUGCCUUGAGAGUAGAAGGAAACACAGCAAGGUUCGGUACACACAUUCCCCUAAUUAUUUAUAAAUCUUUUUUCCCAUGCCUUUUUUUUUUUUCUCUUUCUAUUUGCCUUUUCUGUAAAGCAACUGAACUGUGUAUAAAGCUUCCUUAAUCCACAUUGGUAUGGCCUACCAUUGUUGUCCCUCCCAUGCUCUCUUGUGUGCAAGAUCUAUUUGUUUAUGUUCAUGGGACUAGCUUGUUUAUUAGAUAAUGCCAUGGAUGGAGUCAUGAAGGCAGCAUUGCCCGCCUGCACGUCCUUUUUGCAGAUUGGUGCCUCACAAUUAUGUAAAAAUAUGGAAGUUCUUACGACCCAUGAAUCGGAUGAUACUUUAGUUUAUGUUCUCUGCAAGAAAUUAUAGAGUUUAGAUGGACUGAUUUGUUAUAUGAUGAUAAUUGAACUGCUUAAUGAUUAUUAAUGACAAGCCAAAUAUGAAAAUGGUCUGUGGGGAUGAUAUGAUGCUGUAUGUCGAUGACACUGGGAGGAAUGGAAAGGAGAAGAUAAAUACUAGUUACUAAGGUAAUUUAAU